CAUUGUGGUUCCUCAUUUAACAGUUGAGGAGAUUCAGCCCCAGAGAGCAAUGGGGGCAUAUGCAAGGUCGCACAGCCGAUGGUGAUCCUGGAAUUUCCCCACUGAGCCAAUCCAGGCAGCCUUGGGGGAUUUGCCUGUGGUUUGGAGAAGGAGUGGGGUAUUGGUGGCAAAGGUGAGCGAGGCAGAGGAAGAGAGCCUUCGGGGUGGCCCCAGACUGUUAGAAGCAUACAGUUACUGGAGACACGGCUCUACUGAGACAAUCAAGGUGGCAUUGCCUGAGCACCCCUGAGCCUUUGCUGGGGAACGUGGCUCUGCUCUGCAGCUUGGGUGCUGGUACUCGGAAAUCUCGAAUUUUGCUUGGACCGAACCCUUGCAAUGCCAUCAUUCCCUGUCACGGCGUGUGGGAAAGGGAGGAGAUAUGAGGAAUACCUUACUGUGGGAUGGGAAGGAUUCGAUGAAUCCACAAACUAGUCUAGACCAGGCCCUAUGACAGCAGAGGCCACUCAUUUUCAGGGACUUAGGUCCCUUUGCCAAAAAUCACAGCGAAGGUGCGACGCCUUUUGCGUGACUUGAAUUGACCACUUUCUUGUCCUCCUACCUCGUAGAGCAGUUCUACUUCCUCCAGGGAGCUCUGCAGGACGGGAUUCAGGGGCAUGGAUGAGGAUCUCUUUGGCCGAUGCGCAGCAGGAAAGAGCAUGGCUGCAAGAGACAAGAGUUAGUUCGAGAGGCUGCUUGUGCACAUGGCCUUCUCCCCACCGGUGACCUGGAGGUGGGCCGGCCCGGCCCGUCUUGAAAGUGACUGACUCCACGUGGUGGUGGGCGUGAAGCAGGAAGAGGUGACAGGUGACUCUGGUGUGCCCCAGAGGGCUCCCAGGCAUGUCCCAUGUUACUAUUUCAGACCAGUGACUUCAAACCCGCUGCUCAUCAGAAUCAUCCCGGAAAGUUUUGAAAAACUAGAUGUGUAGGGAUAUGGAUACCUUAGGGAAUUUAUGUAAAGCAAAAUAAAACAAAACAGAAACGAGCAGACAGCCCUCCCUGCUGCCCCCCGCCCCGCCCCCAGUUCAACAAAUGAGUUCUCCAAUAACACCGUUCCCUUUGUUAAUACGAAAUGCUGGUUUAUAUUUAUUGACAACCCUUUUAAUCAGAGGAUCAGACUUCUGGCUGUUCCCCAGCCAUCUGAAAUCGAGCUGCCAAGACUCUGGACACAGGUGACAAAGGGAAGGCAGAGAGCCGCCACAAGCCCCUGACACUUGGCCCUAGGGGUGUGUGAAGCAGAGCUCAGGGCCUCCCCUGGGGGCGGGCUGAGAGGGGCACGUGGCGUGCCGUCACUGGUUUGCCAAUGUUUUUGGAGAUACUGCAUUUGGAGGUGGUACCUGGAGGAAGACGGAUGAGCUGAGGGGUGGAGGGGGUGGCAGAAUUAGGAACUGACAGAGGGCAGGUGAAGAAGGCAGACUAAGAUAGGGUAUGGGUGUAAUCGUUAUGAAUCCCAGUUCUCCCGGAUGGUCUUGGGUAGGAGCAGACAGCCCCGUUCACCCCACAGCCCCACCUUGUACCAGGGCGCCGCGCAGAAAUGAUUGGUAACCCUGCUGCCUGCAAAUAAAAGAAGGGACCCUCUUCUUCAAGACACUUGCUUGUGCCCUGCCAGAAAACUGGGGAACCAACCGUAAACAUCCAAGCCGUGUCCAGCCCACUCUUCCAGGAUGCGAAUGUGCCCACGAGGACCACCCCGCGCCACCAGGGGCCGUCGGAGACUUCCACGUCUCCUCGCGCAAAGGUCUCCUGUAUGGCUGGUCGCAGGGCAGGAAGACCAUGGGCUUCUCCCCAGUUCCCUGACUCCCUGGACAAACGAGCCUUCGGGGGGAAAUUGAGGCUCUGUGAUAGGACAGACCAGCACAGAGCAAAUGACUCACUUGCUAAACGUUAUGCCCGUGCACCAAGACAGCCCGGGAACAGAGUCCAGAGAUUCGAGCGUCAUGUGUCGGGGCCUGUUCUGUCCACGUCUUCUGCUGAGAGACACAUCUGGGCUGCGGACCAAAGUUGUUAAAAUGUGGAGCUCAGAUACCAUAACUGUGCACGAGCCCACUGUGUGCUCAUCGGCGUGCUUUGGGCUUUCCACACGUACCUCGUGAGACUGGUUAGCUCCCCUCAGCCCCCCAAGUGGAGCUCUGACAGGCCCUGGGGGCGCAGGGAGUUGGGCCAGGCAUGUCCGGCUUCUACGCUGGCCUCCCGAACCACAGGUGAGUCAUCAGGUCGGUCAAGUUGGUGGGGCCGGAAGAGCCUGGCUGGCCCGGAAAGCUGCCUCCCAGGGCGGAAUCCUAGAGAGCACUCGUUGGGAGAGGCUGAGAGAGCGUUGGGACAGAGGGUGUG